CAGUCGCCGCGGUAAUACGUAGGGGGCUAGCGUUGCUCGGAAUCACUGGGCGUAAAGGGCUCGCAGGCGGUUUCUUAGGUCUGAUGUGAGAGCCCCCGGCUCAACCGGGGAGGGUCAUUGGAAACUGGGAAACUUGAGUGCAGAAGAGGAGAGUGGAAUUCCACGUGUAGCGGUGAAAUGCGUAGAGAUGUGGAGGAACACCAGUGGCGAAGGCGACUCUCUGGUCUGUAACUGACGCUGAGGAGCGAAAGCGUGGGGAGCGAACAGGAUUAGAUACCCCGGUAGUCCCUGUCUCUUAUAC
rnacentral:rRNA from 1 species